rnacentral:rRNA from 1 species
CGAUUGAACGCUGGCGGAAUGCUUUACACAUGCAAGUCGAACGGCAGCACGGACUUCGGUCUGGUGGCGAGUGGCGAACGGGUGAGUAACGCGUUGGUGAUCUGCCUUGAAGUGUGGAAUAACGUUUCGAAAGGAACGCUAAUACCGCAUGUGCUCUCGAUUUUUAGAAAGUUGAGAGUAAAGGAUUUAUUCGCUUCAAGAGGAGCCUGCGUCCCAUCAGCUGGUUGGUAGGGUAACGGCCUACCAAGGCGACGACGGGUAGCCGGUCUGAGAGGAUGUACGGCCACACUGGGACUGAGAUACGGCCCAGACUCCUACGGGAGGCAGCAGUUGGGAAUCUUAGGCAAUGGACGAAAGUCUGACCUAGCGACGCCGCGUGAGGGAAGAAGGCCUUCGGGUUGUAAACCUCUGUCAUGGGGGAAGAAGGAAGUGACGGUACCCCAAGAGGAAGCCCCUGCUAACUACGUG